CCUGCGUUGGUGGGCGCGCCGCGGGCUCUAAAAGCUCGACUGUCGGCCGGGCGCUGUGGCGCACGCCUGUAAUCCCAGCACUUUGGGAGGGCAAGGUGAUGUUGGACGUGACAGAGGAGGUGACAGGUCACCCUGAGUGCGGGACUCCGUGUCCAGAAGGAAGUGGGCCUCCAGGUGCCACGCCUUUGCUUCUGCUGUGGCAUCUGAUGAGUUCCCUGUUCAUCUCUCCAGGCAUUCCCAGGGCAGUCAGCCCUGAUGCCCAGGGGCUAGGCUUGCAAGACCGCGCAUUAGGUUCGCAGAGCUAGAGUGCAAGGCCAGACCUGGUACCAACAGCAUCUCCGCCUUCGUCCUCAUCUGGUUCCCGCCUCAAACCUGUACCUGUGCGGAGGAGCCUGGAAGGCCACUUUUCUCUCAUCUUUGUAAGCAAGCCUGGAUAAUUCAACUUGAGAUAAACAUGGGCUGCUUUAAAGCUUUACAGCACUUGCAUUUUUAGUUCUUCUGAAACAGAGCCAGAUGUCUCUCAAAGUCAGAUCACAGACACCACUGCAUGCAUCAUGGAACCUGGACUGUUCUGGUCAGAUCAAUAAUCUGGACAUUAUAAUUUUUUCAUUUUUUUUGUAGAGACGGGGGUCUCACUUUGUUGACCAGGCUGGUCUGGAACUCCUGGG
rnacentral:lncRNA from 1 species